GCGGCGGUGGCGAAAUGGCAGACGCGCUGGCUUUAGGAGCCAGUGACCGCAAGGUCGUGUGGGUUCAACUCCCUCUCGCCGCA
rnacentral:tRNA from 1 species